CAGAUGUGCUGGGAGCCACUGCGGUACUCGUGCUCAAAGGCAGGCAAGACCAGCUGGUGGCGUUUGAAGCGGCUCUGCUCCAUCCUGUUGGCAGCACACCCACCUCGAAGUGAGAGACCAUAGCAUCCAUGAGCUCCUCGCAGAACGGAGGGUUGGCCUCAAAGGAACCACUCAGCGGGGUGAAGUCCAGGCAGGGCCUAAAGAAAGGGCCCAGGACACAGCAGGCGACACCGUUUGCUCUCCAUCGCCCCUACCUGGGAUGUUGUUUUCCUUGAGGACGGCAAGGUGCU